GCCUAGCCCUAAAUCUUGGCACUUACCCUACUAAAGUGUCCGCCCGAGAACUACGAGCACAAACGCUUAAAACUCUAAGGACUUGGCGGUGCCCCAAACCCACCUAGAGGAGCCUGUUCUAUAAUCGAUAACCCACGAUUCACCCGACCGCCUCUUGCCAAAACAGCCUACAUACCGCCGUCGUCAGCCCACCUUCGUGAAAGAACAACAGUGAGCGCAAUAGCCUCGCCCGCUAACAAGACAGGUCAAGGUAUAGCUCAUGAGGCGGAAGAAAUGGGCUACAUUUUCUGAAACAGAAAACCCAACGAAAGAGGACGUGAAACCGUCCCCGAAAGGCGGAUUUAGCAGUAAAGUGGGACAAUAGAGCCCCCUUUAAACAGGCCCUGAGGCACGU
rnacentral:rRNA from 1 species